rnacentral:rRNA from 1 species
GGAGGUAGUGACAAUAAAUCACAAUGCGGGACUAUACGUCUUGCAAUUGGAUUGAGAACAAUGUACAACUCUUAUCGAUAAGCCAUUGGAGGGCAAGUCUGGUGCCAGCAGCCGCGGUAAUUCCAGCUCCAAUAGCGUAUAUUAACGUUGUUGCAGUUAAAAAGCUCGUAGUUGAAGUGUGGGUGGUGCCAUCUGUGAAGCUUCGGCUUCUAGGAUACUCACUACCCCCUUCCAGUAUCCAGUAGUGGGUAUUCAGUUACUUACUAUUGUGUGUUGGUCGUUUACUGUGAGAAAAUUAGAGUGUUCAAAGCAGGCGUUUGCUUGAAUAGAUUAGCAUGGAAUAAUAAUUGAAGGCUUUCGUGUUCGAUUUGAUUGGUUUGUUCAUGGAAGCAAGGUUAAAAGGAACAGUUGGGGGUAUUCAUAUUCACUAGUUAGAGGUGAAAUUCUCGGAUUUAUGGAAGAUGAACAAGUGCGAAAGCA